rnacentral:sRNA from 1 species
GCCAUCUCAUCCAUGGUAUCCACAUGUCGCGAUCAUUUGUAACUUCGUUCGCAUUGUAAACUAUGUUUGAGCUAUGUGCAUGUGUACCUCUUGCCUUCCCUCUGCAUAACGCUCUCGUCCUUUCCCACCACUUCUUUUUUCACCAACUUCUUCCUUCGAUUACCCGUUUGAUUAGCUUUAUAUGUAGCGACAGAAACAUAAUUUGGGAAGGAUGAGGCAGUCAUACGUGCAUAAACGUAAUCGGCCAUUCCUUCCAACGAUGUACUCAUCCCAUAACUCUAGUACAUCUCCUACGUCGCGAUCCAUCUUGUAGACCAAUGCCUCGAGUUGAACUAGGUCACCAGAGCCGCUGGCGGAGUUGGGCUGAGAAGCAAUGGAGUUGGAAGAAGAGGAUGGGUUAGGCCCCGCAUGGUGUUGACCUUCAAGUACACCGGUAGUUUGGCUCUCUUGGGCGUUGACUGACAUGUCGUCAGAUAACAUUCACGCCAUCCAUGACCAUUUGUGAAAACAUGCUUACCAUUAGAUCGAGAUGAAAUGCUGCCGCUGUGUUGGCGGCGAGCCAUUGCAUGGAA